GCCUACGGGAGGCAGCAGUGGGGAAUAUUGGACAAUGGGCGAAAGCCUGAUCCAGCCAUGCCGCGCGUGUGAAGAAGGCCUUUUGGUUGUAAAGCACCUUAAGCGAGGAGGAGGCUACUUGGAUUAAUACUCUAGGAUAGUUGACGUUACUCGCAGAAUAAGCACCGGCUAACUCUGUGCCAGCAGCCGCGGUAAUA
rnacentral:rRNA from 1 species